rnacentral:rRNA from 1 species
AUUGAACGCUGGCGGCAGGCCUAACACAUGCAAGUCGAGCGGAUGAAGGGAGCUUGCUCCUGGAUUCAGCGGCGGACGGGUGAGUAAUGCCUAGGAAUCUGCCUGGUAGUGGGGGAUAACGUCCGGAAACGGGCGCUAAUACCGCAUACGUCCUGAGGGAGAAAGUGGGGGAUCUUCGGACCUCACGCUAUCAGAUGAGCCUAGGUCGGAUUAGCUAGUUGGUGGGGUAAAGGCCUACCAAGGCGACGAUCCGUAACUGGUCUGAGAGGAUGAUCAGUCACACUGGAAGUGGGACACGGUCCAGACUCCUACGGGAGGCAGCAGUGGGGAAUAGUGGACAAUGGGCGAAAGCCUGAUCCAGCCAUGCCGCGUGUGUGAAGAAGGUCUUCGGAUUGGAAAGCACUUUAAGUUGGGAGGAAGGGCAGUAAGUUAAUACCUUGCUGUUUUGACGUUACCAACAGAAUAAGCACCGGCUAACUUCGUG